rnacentral:rRNA from 1 species
UACGGAGGGUGCAAAUGUUGCUCGGAAUUAUUGGGCGUAAAGCGCACGUAGGCGGUCCAGCAAGUCGGGUGUGAAAGCCCUCGGCUUAACCGAGGAAGUGCAUUCGAAACUACUGGACUUGAAUACUGGAGAGGAUCGCGGAAUUCCCGGUGUAGAGGUGAAAUUCGUAGAUAUCGGGAGGAACACCAGUGGCGAAGGCGGCGAUCUGGACAGAUAUUGACGCUGAGGUGCGAAAGCUAGGGGAGCAAACGGG